rnacentral:rRNA from 1 species
UGCCAGCCGCCGCGGUAAUACCGAGGGUGCAAGCGUUAAUCGGAAUUACUGGGCGUAAAGCGCGCGUAGGCGGAUUGUUAAGUCGGGGGUGAAAUCCCGAGGCUCAACCUCGGAACUGCCCUCAAUACUACCAGUCUAGAGUUCGGGAGAGGUGAGUCGAAUUCCUAGUGUAGAGGUGAAAUUCGUAGAUAUUAGGAAGAACACCAGUGGCGAAGGCGGCUCACUGGCCCGAUACUGACGCUGAGGUGCGAAAGCGUGGGGAGCAAACAGGAUUAGAUA